AACGAACGCUGGCGGCAUGCCUAACACAUGCAAGUCGAACGAACCCUUCGGGGUUAGUGGCGCACGGGUGCGUAACGCGUGGGAAUCUGCCCUUUGCUUCGGAAUAACAGUUAGAAAUGACUGCUAAUACCGGAUGAUGUCUUCGGACCAAAGAUUUAUCGGCAAAGGAUGAGCCCGCGUAGGAUUAGGUAGUUGGUGGGGUAAAGGCCUACCAAGCCGACGAUCCUUAGCUGGUCUGAGAGGAUGAUCAGCCACACUGGGACUGAGACACGGCCCAGACUCCUACGGGAGGCAGCAGUGGGGAAUAUUGGACAAUGGACGCAAGUCUGAUCCAGCAAUGCCGCGUGAGUGAUGAAGGCCUUAGGGUUGUAAAGCUCUUUUACCAGGGAUGAUAAUGACAGCACCUGGAGAAUAAGCUCCGGCUAACUCCGUGCCAGCCGCCGCAGUAAAAC
rnacentral:rRNA from 1 species